ensembl:lncRNA
CUCAGUGCUAGCUGCAAAAGGCAAGCCAGUUUCUUUACAAUUGAGCUCUCUCUGAACACAGCAGACAUGCAUACACCUGAUAGAGGAAUUUCUGCCAGCAGUGAAAUUUGGUUUUCCUUGGACUCAGGAAGUAGGGGAAGCUGCAUUAUCACUACAAUGAGCACAUGGUCUAUGGUAGCACCUACUUCUGGUUUUUACUUUCAGAAAUAUGCUGAACUCUGUGGCCCUGUAAAUAUUUGAAAAAUACUUGCAUAAUGAGUUUAGAACUCCCCGUUUGAUACAGAUUACGCUGUAACAUAUACUGAAAGCUCCUGUGAGACACGUCACUUCUGUUGGAAAAAUGUUCAUGUACCUCGCCAAGAAACACAUCAGUUCGAUUUCCUCCUUCUUUUGAAGUUUUGAUUUUUGCAUGUUACUGCAGUCUGAGUCUCCACUGGUAU